rnacentral:lncRNA from 1 species
GGUAUCGUGAAUUGAAUACCCUUUCAAUAAUUAGUGCCAACCCAAGCUUGUAACGAUCUUUACGGUUGCCACAUUGCAAAAAAAACUUUCUCCAGGUCGCUAAAAGUUAUCCGGUCCAUAUUAGCAAACAUUCUAUCCUGUAGACGGGUUUUCUCUAGGAUUUUGUCAACUUCGGUACCUUUAGGCACUUGACCGUACUUCAAGGCGGUGAUUAAUGUGAACUCCGACAAUCCAAAUCGUGCGAACCUUUGGUUAAACUUGAACCAAGCCUCAAAUUGCUUUUGGCAGACCACCAUUCUAUUUACGAUUUCAUGAAUUAAUUAAGAGGAUAGUUUCAGCUCCGGUAACCUUGCCACAUGUCCUAUACAACUGUCCUCAAACAUACGAUUUUGUUGUGGAUCCAAUUUGUUGACGACAACUGAUAUUUAUUUU